rnacentral:rRNA from 1 species
UACGUAGGCAGCAAGCGUUGUUCGGAAUCACUGGGCUUAAAGGGUGCGUAGGCGGCCAUGUAAGUGAGGUGUGAAAUCCCUCGGCUCAACCGAGGAACUGCGCUUCAUACUGCAUGGCUUGAGGGAGACAGGGGUAAGCGGAACUGAUGGUGGAGCGGUGAAAUGCGUUGAUAUCAUCAGGAACACCGGUGGCGAAAGCGGCUUACUGGGUCUCUUCUGACGCUGAGGUACGAAAGCUAGGGUAGCGAACGGG